CAGCAGCCGCGGUAAUACGGAGGAUCCAAGCGUUAUCCGGAAUCAUUGGGUUUAAAGGGUCCGUAGGCGGUCUUAUAAGUCAGUGGUGAAAUCUCCCCGCUCAACGGGGAAACGGCCAUUGAUACUGUAGGACUUGAAUUAUUAGGAAGUAACUAGAAUAUGUAGUGUAGCGGUGAAAUGCUUAGAGAUUACAUGGAAUACCAAUUGCGAAGGCAGGUUACUACUAAUGGAUUGACGCUGAUGGACGAAAGCGUGGGUAGCGAACAGGAUUAGAUACCCUGGUAGUCCACGCCGUAAACGAUGGAUACUAGCUGUUGGAAGCAAUUUCAGUGGCUAAGCGAAAGUGAUAAGUAUCCCACCUGGGGAGUACGUUCGCAAGAAUGAAACUCAAAGGAAUUGACGG
rnacentral:rRNA from 1 species